AUUCAAAAAGCAAAUAAAAACACACAUGCUGCAGUAUACGAGUUUUACAUGAAUUCUCCAAAAUUGGCAAAGUGUUUGAUGAAAUGUCUCAAAGAAAGCUGCAUAUGGAUGUUUCUGCUGUUACUAAAUUGUUAGCUACUGGAUUGCGGGAGUUUCAAGCUUCUUUUAGAUGUUAAUUUUCAAUCUCAAUGGUUAGGAGAAUCAUAGAUACUUUGCUCCCAGCUUUUGCCAAUCCACUCACUCAAAAUCAAAACUCAAUUUUAAGUGUAUUUUCAAACUGUCUGCACAAGGCUAUUGGCUGGAAAAAUUUAAAACUGAUGCUUAACUGUUAUGAGAUAGGAUAUAUGAUGGUUUCCAGCAAGUUUAUAUGAUGAUAAUGGAUAGAUGCAGGCAGCUAAGUAUUCACAGAACAAACUACAGCAGAAUUUGGCUAUGACACUUCCCAAAAGUGACCAAAAAUGAGGUAUUCAAGCAUGGACUGUAAGCCAAUCUGAGAAUUGACCAUGUGAACAGUAAC
rnacentral:lncRNA from 1 species